AUAAAAUAUUUGAGAGCGAAAGGCAUUUAAGAAUUCAAUAUGACUGUUUUUUUUGUUUGCUAAAAAGAGAUUUUAUGACUGUUAUCUGGCUGACAUAUAUUAUCGCUAAAUUCGCUCGAUAAUUUGUAUAUAUUUUAAUUGUUCUUUCGUGAAUUGCAUAUCAAAACUCAAACGUCGAUAUCCAGUGACCCUUAUUCUCCAUUCAAACCGUACCACUAGACUAACUAAAGUUAUCUAUGUAUAUCAAUGUUUGUAACGAAUAACGAAAUUAAAAUCUCGAGAUAUUGUUUCGAUACUUAUCUCCACUAACAAAACAAGACAGACAAUUUCAGAGAAGAUGCGCAC
rnacentral:lncRNA from 1 species